UAUCUAAUUGCAAUUUGUAUAUUUGCACUCCUAACUAUCGGCGCUCUCUCAAAAAAUGUGCGAAUUCUUGGUGGCACAGAGGUAAAUGUGAGAGCAUAUCCAUUUAUGGCCUUAUUGAAACAUAUCAACCAUCAUGAAAUUAUAUGCAGUGGAGUAAUAGUAAGUAAUAAGCAUAUUCUUACAACGGCUAGGUGUCUUAAGUAUGAUGUAAAUUUUUUGAGAGGAGUGAAAGUCUAUACAGGCACAAUUUCUACGGACACAAAUCUAGGAACUCAGCAUAAUAUUGAAUUGAUUUUCAGUCAUCCAA